AGGACGAACGCUGGCGGCGUGCUUAACACAUGCAAGUCGAACGGUGAAGGAGAGCUUGCUCUCCGGAUCAGUGGCGAACGGGUGAGUAACACGUGAGUAACCUGCCCUUGACUCUGGGAUAAGCGUUGGAAACGACGUCUAAUACCGGAUACGAGCUUCAGCCGCAUGGCUAGGAGCUGGAAAGAAUUUCGGCAAGGAUGGACUCGCGGCCUAUCAGCUAGUUGGUGAGGUAAUGGCUCACCAAGGCGACGACGGGUAGCCGGCCUGAGAGGGUGACCGGCCACACUGGGACUGAGACACGGCCCAGACUCCUACGGGAGGCAGCAGUGGGGAAUAUUGCACAAUGGGCGCAAGCCUGAUGCAGCAACGCCGCGUGGGGGACGAAGGCCUUCGGGUGUAAACCGUCUUUUAGUACGGUAAGAAGCGACUGGGUUUCCUCAGUCACGUAGACGGUACCUGACUAAGAAAAACGCACCGGACUAACCUACGUGACCAGCAGACCGCGGUAAUACCG
rnacentral:rRNA from 1 species